rnacentral:tRNA from 1 species
GGGGGCAUGGCUCAAGUUGUAUAGCACCUGCCUAGCAAGCAUGAGGCUUUGAGUUUUAACCCCAGUACCACCA